rnacentral:rRNA from 1 species
UACGUAGGGACCAAGCGUUGUCCGGAAUCAUUGGGCGUAAAGCGCGCGUAGGCGGCCAUUUAAGUCCGCUGUGAAAGUCAGAGGCUCAACCUUUGAAAGCCGGUGGAUACUGGAUGGCUAGAGUACGGAAGAGGCGAGUGGAAUUCCUGGUGUAGCGGUGGAAUGCGCAGAUAUCAGGAGGAACACCAAUAGCGAAGGCAGCUCGCUGGGACGUUACUGACACUAAGGCGCGAAAGCGUGGGGAGCGAACAGG